GGCUGUCGCCGUCGAUUGGCUUCCAAACAGCUAUCAGAAACAGAUGGGUGACGUAACGGAUACUACUUCCAUAUUUUAUACAGUCUAUGGUCAGGAGAAGCUGAAGCUAACAGCACAUGGACAGCAGACAGCUGCAGCCACCUUCUUUCCUCCUUUUGAUAUGCCUUGGAAAGCUUCUCUUUUUUACAACAAUGAAUAUCUACACGAGAAUUGAUGACAACAGUAAAGGACAUUGAACUUUA